AUUCCAGCUCCAAUAGCGUAUAUUUAAGUUGUUGCAGUUAAAAAGCUCGUAGUUGGAUCUUGGGUCGUAAGGGUCGGUCCGCCUACUCGGUGUGCACCUGCCCUUCCGUCCCUUUUGUCGGCGGCGUGCUCCUGGCCUUAAUUGGCUGGGUCGCGGUUCCGGCGCUGUUACUUUGAAAAAAUUAGAGUGCUCAAAGCAAGCUUAUGCUCUGAAUACAUUAGCAUGGAAUGACGUGAUAGGAGUCUGGUCCUAUUGUGUUGGCCUUCGGGACCGGAGUAAUGAUUAAUAGGGACUGUCGGGGGCAUUCGUAUUUCAUUGUCAGAGGUGAAAUUCUUGGAUUUAUGAAAGACGGACCACUGCGAAAGCAUUUGCCAAGGAUGUUUUCAUCG
rnacentral:rRNA from 1 species